rnacentral:rRNA from 1 species
AACGAACGCUGGCGGCGUGUUUAAGACAUGCAAGUCGCACGGGGAACUCAUGAAGCUUGCUUUGAGAGUUCCUAGUGGCGCACGGGUGAGUAACACGUGAGUUACAUGCCCUGCAGUGGGAAUAGCCCGCCGAAAGGCGGAUUAAUACCCCAUGGUCCCGCAAGGGUAAAGGUGGCUUCGGCUGCCGCUGCAGGAUUGGCUCGCGUCCUAUCAGUUUGUUGGUGAGGUAACGGCUUACCAAGACUACGACGGGUAGCUGGUCUGAGAGGACGAUCAGUCACACUGGAACUGAGACACGGUCCAGACACCUACGGGUGGCAGCAGUCGAGAAUAAUUCACAAUGGACGAAAGUCUGAUGGUGCAACGCCGCGUGGAGGAUGACGGUCUUCGGAUUGUAAACUCCUGUCAUCGGGGAGUAAGACCUGG